UUCUUGGGUCUCUUUUAUAGGCAUUAUCAACAAGUGCACGAAUCCGAGCAUAUUCCUCCUUCCUAGCCUUCUCGGAAAGUUUUGCAUUCUGCCUCUCCAUCCACCUUUUAUGGUCCCGAGACUCAGCUUGUUCGAGGUCAUACUCAUCCGCAUGGGGGAAUUCCCUCCAGCUUUUGAAACUAUACCAAAAAUUAUAGAAAUUGUCCACAUCUUUUAGCGGAGUACUGUCAUCUCCUAAAGAUGGGAUAGGCUGGGUCACCGACCAUCGCCCAUUCCUCAUGAAAGCUGGACCAAACACCUUGAAGAAGUCUUGUGGGGCACAUUCGGUAGGAAUUUCAUCAUCAAACUCAUCAGUGGAGUCAUAGAUUCUUCUCCUUACAGGAUCGAUCAAAAUCUCAUAUGCUUCUUGGAUGGACUUGAAGUGAUUCUCAAUUUCAUCCUUCUUAGCUUGUUUUGCAGCCUCCGUCUCCUCUGCAAGAAGAAGAUUCGCGAGUUUGUCAGGAUGAUGUCUCAAGGCAGCUUCACGGUAACUUUUCCUUAUCUGAUCCUCAGUGGCAAGAUAUCUUAAAUGGCUCAACCCAAGCAAUGCAUAGUGAUCUUGCUGCUUGCCAUCAGCACCAGAUUUCUUUUUCCCUUUGUUGCUAUACGAAUCAGAUGAUGGCAUAUACACUUGCUCCUUAUCAUUAACGACUUUCUGAUCAUCAACUUCAGUAGUAUCAUCUUCCUCACAGCCAAAGAGUUUAAGAGCAGCAUUAUGAAAGGCAUGGCCAGCCGGUUCAUAUUUUAAAGCCUUAACAGGAAGGCAAUUUGAAGAAACAUAGAGUGGCUGUCCGUCCACAAGCUCCUGAGAAUACGAUAUAAGCUGAAUGCUUGUGCGGACCGCCAUAAUGUUUAUGGUGGAUACACGAAACCACAAAAGGACAAUAAAUGCCAAUACCAAUAUCUGGGAAUAGCUUUUGCUAGUUUGACAAUCUGCAAAAAGUUGCAAUCAGCACAGCUUGUGUUAAUACGUUCAAAACAGAUAUAUAAUGAUGCAACCAAAAGAUUAUUUCACGAUAUCGGCUCGGUGAGCAGGAACCAUUCGGUUAGCUUAGCCCUACAGUACCAGACUGCUCGAUCGGAGCUAACAAGUGUACGAUUAAAGAAACAAAAAGACCAGAAAGAAAACAUAAAUUAUCUCUUCAUCCACAACCCCCAACCACAAUCAUUCCUAAAAUAAAAAUCAGUACUUGAAACCUCCGUUACCCGGACUCAGCAGUUAGGGGAGCCGUACCGGAUCGACACGGAUUCCGACACUGGACACGGAUCAGAUCCGGCAAAAUCGACGGACGCGGCAGUGGGAGAACUGAGAAGAAAAGACGAUGAGAAGAAAGAUAAAAAGGAGGAGGAUACACGGCUGCGGCGAUAGUAGAGAUCUGCUAAAAGCCCCUAACAGCAGUCGGUCGGCAAUAACAGAGAAGAAGAUAACAUGUACUCGUAACUUUUACAGUUUUAGUUCCUAGGGUUUUAGUGUUAAUGAUGGGGUUUUAUGGUUACCUUGGAUUAACGGGCGAGGAGGCAAUGAAUGCUAUUGGUGAUGCAGUUUCCUUUGAUCUGAAACUCGGGAAUUACAUAUGUGCGUGUGUAUAUAUAUAAUGUAAGUAAAAGGGUAAAUGCGUGGGCUCUCGGCCGAGUAUGAAAGAUAAGCAGGCUACGCAACUGAGACACUUGGGUUAGCCCAAAUCUUAAGCCUAAUUACUCAAAAUAUGAGCUCCAACAAAAUUUAUUAUUUGGGAUUAUACAUGAUUAUGGGUCGGGUCUAAUCGGGUUUAAAUGAAAUCGAUAUAAAUUUUUAAAUCCGUUUUUUAGGUUUAGAUCUGGUCCGAUUUUGAAAAAUGAGUCUAAAAUCUUGUCUAAACUCGAUCCAGAUUAAUAAUGCUAUCCUCGAGUUCGGCUUGGUUCGUCCGUAUUAAAUUUUUAUAUUAUUUUUUAAUAUAAAAACAAGUUUAAAAAAUAUAAUACAUCAAAUACACUAAAAAUAUUAAAUUAAAUGUUUCCCAACAAAUUGAAAAUACAUUAAAAAAGCUUUUAUAUUUAAAUAACAAUAAGAUAGUUACAACUUAGCAAGCAAAUACCUCUAAAAUAGUAGCAAAAUUAACAAUAAAACAAAAGUUAUAUAAUAUCCAAAUAAUAAUAAUAAUAAUAGUAACAAUAUGAUAGCAAAAUGAUAGCAAAAUAAUAAUAGAGAGAAAGUUUAGGCUCAUUCAAGCCUGGGUAGAAAAAAUCUACUCGAUGCCUAACCUGUUUAAAAAAUGAAUAUUUUUUUGUCCAAAUCCAUUUUUGGGUUUAUAUUUUUGCUCAGACUCUCACAUUUUUCAAGUGAACCUUUAAGCCUGAUUGAGUGACUCGACCCAUGAUUAGGUCUAGUUAAGACCAAUUUCAUAUUUAAACAGAAUUGGUAAAAACACCUUUCUAGUCCCUCUUAAUUUUGAUUUUGAGUAAAUUGAUCUCUCUCAAAAAAUUAGAGCAACUUAGUGUUUGCCAAUUCCAAAAGUGGGCAACUUUAGACAAUUAAUUACGGUGUUAGCAUUCUCGUCAAUUAUAUAUAAUUUUGAUAGGUAUAAUAACAAAUUUAACCCUUGAUGUUUAUGUAUUUUGUGUCACUGUUGAUGGAAUGUAUAAAUGUUUCAAGCCAAAUUUUUAAAUCAAUACUAAAUUGAUUAAGUAUGUAAACUUUGAGAAUUAAAUUUAUUAUUAUCCCAAUAAAAAUAUUUAUAAUUGAUGAAAAAUAUUAAUAUUAUGUUUAAUGGUUCUUAUUUACUUAUUUUCGAAAUUGAUUGAAAUUAAAUUAUCAAUAAAUUAUAAAGAUAUAAAUUAGACUUUCAAAAUAAUUAUAAAGAUAUAAAUUAAUAUAAAUAUAAAACCACCCCUUUGGAAGGCCUUAAACCCCGUUUAUAUCUUCAAAUUUUAAAAUUUAAGUUGUCAUGUGACAUCAUUUAAUUGAUUGAGGUUGUUAAGAACUGGACUAAUGAGACAGACAAAAAUGAAAACAUGAGAACCAAAGUAAUAAAAAAAACUUGAGGUACCAAAUUCAAAAUUUAUGCAUAGUACAAGAAUAAAAAUAGGUAUUAAGACUUUAAUAUAUGGAUUAGUUCAAUUUUAAUUAAAUAAUUAAAAUAUUAAUAUUACAUCAAUCAAGUAACCAAUAAUUCAGAUAUAACAUAGAGCAUAACUAAAACACAUGAAUCAUAUUAUAAUAUAAAUAGGUUCAAAACAAAUAAUCUCCUAAUUUUAAUAUUAAUUAUAUACGUGCUUACAAUUUGAUUAUGUAUUUUAAAUGCAUUUUACAUAAAAUUUAAAUUGACAUUUAACAUCUAAAUUAUAAAAAUAUAUAUAAUAUUAAUAUUAAUAAUUAGCUAAAUUUUAUGCUAUCUAAACUCUAAACUAGUGAUAUUUUUGAGUGAUAAUUAUACCCAAUUUAUUAAUCAACAAUGGUAAAGCUCAAUCAACAUAAGAAUUCAGCCCUAGUUAUAAUAUUAUUCACAGCACAAAAUAUUUAUUGAUAAAAAAAACAAUAUAAUGUUAACACAGUAUACAAGAAUGAUCCACCCACCAGUCUAGUUGAAACUUAAAUAUAAUGGUUGUAACCUGUCUGCAGAAAAAUGCAUAUAUAGACAAAUAUGGUAUACAAGAAUUAUCCACCCACCAUUCUUAUUGAAACUUAAAUAUAAUGGUUGUAACCUGUCUGCAGAAAAAUGCAUAUAUAGACAAAUAUGGUAUCACAGCUUUUGAGUUCGAAUUUUAGCAAUUGCUUUAUCUUUUGUAUUUCUUCCUUCAAUGUCUUGUUGUACUCUAAACCCGAAAUACAAAAAGGGACCCUAACCUAAAAUCGAAAGUCUAACCCGUUAAGUUAGAAGGGAAGGUUACCUCAUUUAUUGUUGUAAUCCCACAAGUUCGUAGCUCUGCAAACUUUCUUUUGGGAUUGAGAACGUUGUUUGCUUCGUCGGUAAUGACUUAUUUUCGCCAUCGUCUGAUGUAAUCUUGAGGCCACAUGCAUGGCAAAGGGAUUCCACAUCCAAUUCCUAUAAAAACAAUACCACAUCCAAAUCAUAAUACAUAGAUUUACAAUGCUAAAAUAAAGGAUCUAUGUUAUUCCGACUCUUCUUUUAUUUUGAAGAAUUCGUGUUCAACACGUAUCUAAAAACUUAGAAAAUUUUGACCAUGCUAAUAUCUGACACUCGUACCUGAAUCCAAGUAACAUAAUAAAAAAUCUCAAGUGUAGGAAAUAAUACCUUCAUCAUCAAAAGUUUGGACAAUUGUUCCAAAGGAUAAGGAUGAAGCUUGUAGCAACAAUUAUUUAUAUAGGAAAUUGCCAGUGCUCGGACCUGUAAAAAAAUUUGAAAGUGGAAAUGAAAAUUAAAGGGCAAAACACGUACAACAAAUACAAGGAACUUAUCUAUGUUACUUGAACCUGGGUGUAAAUAUUAGACAUAGAUAUGUAUCGGCACAAGCAUUCUCAAAAUUUUUCAUGUAUUUAAAAGGUCCUUGAAAGACCAUAUCUCAAUACCAAAGACUGGCUAACAUUUAUUAGGAAUUUUUGUAAAAUUUAAAAUUUGAAGGAUAUUAAAAAAAAUUGAAGAAUAUUUAACCUAUUUCCAAUUUAUCUUUAAGCUUAAAAAAUGAAAAUUUAUCAUAAAAACAAUCUUAUAAUUCCACAAAAAAAAAAUCAUUCUAUUUUGAUUUAGUAUAUGUUAAAAUAUAUUUCUAGCAAUUUUUUCAUAUAGUUUACACAUAAAUUGACUAUAACAGAAUUUGUAUAUGUCAACUUUUAUAUCUGGCUUUUUUUUUCCUUUGUUUAUUGAAGUACUCAUGUCCAACAUUCGUGUCCGAUAAAUAUCCGGAUAUAGGUAUGGGAUAUCCUCCAAGAACUCAAAUACAAGAAAAGAAACUUAGGGAAAAGAAAAUGAACAAACCAAUGUCACACACACUCGAGUCCUGUUAACAUAAGUUUCUAACAUUAUGUCCAUAAAGCAUUGUACCACUAUACUCAAUACUAUGGUUGAAAACUAUGUGCAACAAAUCAAAAAAGAAAAUGCCAAAAAGAGAAAGGUUAUGCAACAAAUGAUGUGGUAGAUUACCUCGUUCACAUUAGGCUCUAUAAUACAGUACUGUAAAUAUGAUGCCUCAGACGAUACGGUACAGAGAAAACGCUUAUAAUUUCCCAUUCGAUAAAAUCUGUAGAGAAAUAAAGAGAUAUCUUAGUUCCCUUCUGAUUUGAGAUUAAUUUCUGAGAAAAUAAUUAAGAAAUUGCAGCGGUAGGCAUUGAGAAACUUCAAGGUUACCUUAGAACUUGCCGGGCAAAAUGCAUUUCUUUAGACUUCAUUACGGGAGAAGGUACAUUGCGAAACCAAUAUGACAACGACUCCUCCUGCAAAUCCGAAGCAGUAGUUCAGAACCAAUAAGGAUGAAAUUAUGGAUGGAGUACAUAGUCAUGAAAACAGUGAAAUAUAGAUAUCACCAUUUGUUGGUUCUUUGAAUCGAGGUGAAGAAGCACAUAAAAUGAACGAAACUGUGCUUCAUUCUUGUAAACAAAGUUGUUGUUGCGAUUAGCUGCAUACAAAACAUACAGAGAUGCCAAAGCCUUUGUAAGCUGCUCCAUGUUUAGAUAUUGCAAUGACGAAAUACUCGAACUGGUACAGUUUCUGAGCCUUUGGUGAGAGAUUACAUGAAAUUUUACCUGUGUGGGGAAAUAUAUAAAGAUUCUAUAUUGGAUCAAGCUUUUACCUAUGUGGUAAGAACUGAAUCAGAGAUUGAACUGGUUGGACCUCCAAUCCCGGUUCAAUUGGUUGACCCGGGCAAUUCAACCACUUAGAAAAAGAAUAAAUUAAUAAUUAAAUUUUUUUUAAAUUGAAGAAAACUAUAUUUUCAAAAUUCAAAGAUAAACAAUGAACCAAAACACAAUGAAAAAAUCCAAAUCUUUUUGUUAAAAGAUAAAAAAUAAUAAAGGAAAAACAAAAAAUCUGGUUUUUUCUAUUCCCAAUUUCCAACUUUUUACUGUUUCAAAUUUGUUUGGCUAAUUCCAGUUAUUUCUCACUGAUUGGACCUUUGAUUCCCGGUUCAACCGACUGGUCUGGCUCAAUUCUGACAACACUGGAUUGCGUUCUAUCUAAGCAAGACUAUUCAAGCUACUCUGCCACAAUACAACCAGCUAUGUUACUCGGAUUUGGACGCAAGAGUUGGCUACAGGCAUGUGUCCCCCACAAGUUCGCUCAAUUGGUUUAAAAUUUUUUCAUGCAUGUGACAAUAUCCCUGUGGAGUCAAAACCCCACACUCAUGUCCAAAUAUAUGUCAAAUACAAAUAUCAAACAUUGAUACUUCAAGUUAAAUGAAGGGCUGGAGCAACAUAACCAACCGAAACCUACAAUGAUAAAUGAGUUAAAAACACAGUAUCCACCAGUAAGAUACCAUCAUCAAUAAGAUGAAGGAUGUAAGCUUUUUUAAGGUUUAGAAUGCAAUGCAAGUGAUAAGAAUGAAGUAUCAUCAAUAGGCAUAAUUCUGACAUAGAAUCUGGAGAAGAGUAAAUCAAGCAAUACAACAGUUGCUCCAACUCUUCAUUUUUCUUUUAAGUUUCUAUGCUUGACACUCAUACUCAACUCAUAUCUUGACGUGUGUAUGAGGAUAUAAUCCUCCAACGACUCUCAAAAUAUAUGAAUAUCUUGAAAAAUUGAACAUAUCUGUGUCCACCACUCACAAUCAACUUCGAGAACAUAGGUGCAACUCAUGAUUAUGUUGCUCAGACUAUUCAUCUUUCUGUAAGUAUAUGUGUUUGACACUUGUGUCUAAAAUUUGGAUAUAGGUAUGAAAAUGAAGAUACCCAUGUUAGAAACAUUUGUAUCCAACACUUUCACUUGAGUUUGAGUAACAUAGGCUCUUGAUACAACAAAUAUAAAGGUUUAAACAAAAGGCAAAUGUUUAUGGCAAGCAAAUCAUUCCCUCCAAUUAUAUGAAAAUCUUGAAAGAAAAAAUUAAUAUACCCAUGUUAGACAAACACACUCCUUAUUCAACACUCUCAUUUGAUUCCAAAUAAUAAAAGGCAUAUGUUCCUGGGCAAGAAUAUCGUACCAUUUUCUCGUACAUGCAAAUUGCUCUAUCAUUGACUAUAUGCUGCAUGCUAAGAUCCUGCCUUAUUGAUCGAGUCCUAUCGAAAAUGAAGUCAUGAACCACUUCAAAAGGAUGUUCACUCGAGUCCAGUAGGUUUAAAAGGUAGUUUAAUGUAUCUUCUAAUACUGCAAGAGGGCGCACAUCCGAUGCUUGGACAUGCUUUACUGAUAUGGUUCGGCAAAACUAGCAAAAGCAAAGGAUUAUCAACAGCCUUCAACAUUCGAUAAAAUGCAUUUAAAUAAUAGAUAUUGUCAUAUUUAAGCAACUGGAUUAAGCAUACAGAUUAACUUCCUUAUUUAUUAAACAUUGCUUUCCACGUGAUUGUGAUUAAUCUAAUAAAGGAGUAGUAGCAUAGUUAUGUUACUCCAACUCUUCAUUUUUAUUUAAGUAUCAAUAUUUAAAACUCAGAUUCAACACAUAUCUGGAAAUGGGUAUGGGGAUAUGAUCCUUUAAGGACUCUCUACAUCUGACACUCAAAACAGAGUCCAAGUAACAUAGAAUAAAAGUGCACAAGACUCCUAAAUUCUUGGUCGGGGGAUUUAACUGUGAUGUUCAAAUCAUUGGAUAGACCAUGUCCAAAAAUGCAUCGAACACAAAUACUAUGAAAAAUAAAGAGUUAAAAAAACAUAGACACAACCAGAAUUUUGAUAUCAUGGUAGAUGACAUGCAUGAUUCAUUUUUUAGGAUCAUAUUAAUAGCAAAUUCAUAAACAUAACAACAUAAAAGAUUGAUUAUAUUUAGCAGUACAAAAUUUAUUUAACAUAUGAAUUUGGAUAAAGAAUAUCUGAUGGUUAAUAUCUGCAUUUGCCCCUAAUUUGUUAUGGAUGAUAAUUAUUGUAUCCGAAUACGCAAAAAAAAAGAUCAAAUAUUUGCGGAUAUCUGAAUCCACGCCAUUACAAUCUGUAAUUUUAUUAACAAUUUAUUUAAGAUGAUAAAUUUCAAUCAACCUCAAAGGCAAUGCAUGAAUACCCAUUGUGAACACCUUAAUGAACUACAUAUUAAAAAGCUGUCCGAACAAAUAAAACAAAAAAAAAUUUAAAUGCUUGAAAGUACAAAAGCUUACCUUUUUGACAGCUAAAGAUGGAGAUGUUUUCCUAGGAUCUCCAUGUAACCUUUCGAAAACAGCUAAAUCUCGUAGGCGUUCCCGCUGAGCCCUCUCCCCAUCUGUUGUAACAGUGAUGAAAAGGUUACAAACUACAUAUUUUGAUAAAUAACUAGCAUCUAAGAAGCACAGAUACUUCUCUCAACGCAGUGUACAAGUGUGGGAUACAAUUCCAACACGAUAAAAUAUGUGUCGGAAAAAUAAAAUUAAAAAUUAAAAACAAAGUCGGACACUGUUAAAACAUGAUCAUAACAUGGUUGGACGCGUACGGACAUAUUUUCGGUACUAGAGGUAUCUUGGUAGCUAGCAAUCUAGCAUAAACUGAUUGCUACUUGGUUUCGUAUUUAUGUCUGCAAAGUGAAGUUGCAAUUAGAGCUUCAUGUUUCUACCAUUUUCUUCAGCUUCUAGGAACCAAAGAUAAGUAACCAAAGUAACAAUCGAGCAAAUUUAUGAAAAAUCAUAAACCAACAUAAAAAAAUACGGAAAACCCAAUUUUCAGAACAUUAAAACAAGACUAAAGUUGCUAACUUUUAGCUUCUAAUCACAAAUUUUGAAAUAAUUAAAUGAAUAAAUUACCAGGGCACAUGAAAGGGCAAGUUCCAAUUAUAGAACCAACGUCUUCUCUUGCUUCUUGUUCUUCUUGCUGUUGAUUAAUCCCAUCAUAUGUUUCGGAUUUCCGGUUACGGAUAUGGCCGGGAUUUCUAGUAUUGUUAGGGGUAGUUGCAGUGGUAGAAUUGGAGCGUGGAACGAAGUUUGAGGAUUGGGUGGUUUUGGUUGGAUUUGUAGAGAAAUUUUGAGACCGGAAACGUGUUGGGCCGGUCGAGGAAGAAGAAGAAAAGGAGGGCUGGUUUCGACGCUGUUGAAGGCGGCGGCUGCUGUCGUCCAUGGCGUCUAUUGCCCGGUUGAGCUUCGGUUUUCACCUUCGACAGCAGUGUUAAUACGGUCACAACAGAUAUAUAAUGCUAAAACGAUGCAACCAAAAGAUUAUUUCACGAUAUUGGUUCGGUGAGCAGGAACCAUUCCGUUGGCUUAGCCCUACUGUAGCAGACUGCUCAAUGGGAGCUACCAAAUGUACGAUCAAAGGGAAAAAAAACUAGAAAGAAAAGUAAAUUAUCUCUUCAUCCAGAACCCGCAACCACAAUCCUUCCAAAAAUAAAAAUCAUUACUUAAGACCUCCAUUACCCGGACUCGGCAGUUAGGGGUGCCGUACCGGUGCCGACACGGAUCAGAUCCGGCGAAUCGAAUGACGAGGCGGUGGGAGAACUGUGAAGAGAAAACGAUGGGGAGGAAAGGAAAAAGAAAGGGGGAGGAUACACGGCGGCAGUGGCGAUCGUAGACGAUAUCUGAUUAAGUAGCUGGUGGUGGGAAAGCCCUCAACGGAAGUCGGUCAGCAGUGACAGAGAAGGAAAUAACAUGCAUUCGUGACUUUUAGGCUGUUAAAAUAUAAAUAUCAUAAAUAAAAAAAAUCCAAAUAUUAUGAGAAUAAUUUUUUUAAUAUUAACUAAAAAUUUGAAAAAGAUAUAAAAAUAGUAAUUUUAAAAAUAAUAAAUAAUAUUUAUUAAAUAUUAAUUAAAGAAUUUUCAGAAAAUGAUAAAAUAUCCCUUUUAAAUUUUAAUAAAAAUCAUAAAAAUAUUUUAAUAUUUAAGUAAAUUCACAAAUAUCAUAUUCAAUACUCACUCAAUUUCAAAGAUUGAAGACUUUUUUAGAAUAUUUUAAUAAAUUUUUCAUUUUAUUAAUAUAUAAUUUUAAUAAAUUUUUUAUGUGAAUCAAUUCUAAAAUUGUUAAUAAUGAGUUAACUUUUGUGAAAUUGAUUGAUGAAUUUUUUUCCUUUUUAGGAAAUACUUGUUUCAGUUCAUUAAAAAAAUGAAACUUAUCUUACAAUAAUGGAGUUACAAAUUUAUACAAUACACUAUGCUGGUGUGAGUGUGGAAAUUUUUUACUUCAUAGUUAUAAUAAUUAAACUUACCGCCACAAUUAUUUUUAAUCUUGAAUUGUUGACUUGUCAUUACUAGUCAGCAUGAUUUUUUAGACACUUGGUCAUCUGAAAAGUAUCUCAACAAGAAACCUCGAUCCUAAUAAUCUAAAAACUAAAAAAAAUUAAAUAGUUUAAUGUGAGACAAAAAAAUAAGUUAAAUACAACACAUCGCACUCCACCGUCUAUCCAAAUCACUUUAAAACUAACACCACAAUUUUCAAAAAGAUAGAAUAGAAUGAACUUUUCUCUAUCAACAACCUUCCACCAAAAAAUCAAUCACAAAAUCAAUUGAGAACUAUUCAUGAAUAUUUUAUUACUGAAAUUUGUUUAAUUUAUUUAUUUGAUAUUUUAAAUAUUUUUAAAGGAUACUGACCACCUUAACCUUUUUUAUCUUCAAAAAUAUCAAACUGGGAUCCGUCUUGGCCCCAUACACACAUACGUUACAUAUAAUAGAGCCUACACUAAUGGAUUAGAUGAUUUGAUACUCAAAAAUAACUAAAACAAAUAUAAUGAUAAAAAAGAAAUACAAGUAUGAUAAGAACAUAACAAAUAUAUCAAAACAAUGAUUGAAACCAUAUAGCAUUAAAUAAAACAAAAAUAGCCAUUGUUAUUGGUACCUAAGCAAAUACUGCUCCAUACAAAAUCAAUGAGAAAUAGUAUAUUUUAUAUCAAUAUAUAAAGCUAAUUGCUGUAGAAAACAUUUGUUAUGGAAACCUCUAUGGCAUAGCAGAAGUCAGAAUGUAGGAACUAAGAAGAGAGGUUGGUUUCGUUACACAUAUGUUGUAGCUCAGGCAGGUUCCAAGAUGUGUUAAGACGACUCCCUCUUUAAGAUAUAUCACUUCUCGGCCCCCUUGGUAUUUAAUCAAGUGACUAAGCUGUGCUUUUCUUGCUUCUAAAGUUUUCCUUCAGUAAUGCAAAUUUUUUCUUGCAUUGGUUUACAGUCUUCCCGGGAACAGCAGUGGCUACUCGUUCCCAACGCUGACUGGUUUCCUUUGGGAAUGUCUUCAGAGCCUGAAUCAGUGCUCUCUCUUGUACAGCAGACCAUACAUCUUGUUCUGAACUUGAUGAAACACCAUUGCCAGAAACCACAUCGACAGGAUUACUUGCAGCUUUACCAGAGUCUUCAGCGCUGCUAGUCUUCGCAGUUGUGUUUUCAGUCCUUGAAGGCAUAGAAACCCCUUCUACUUCCUCCCUAGUGGAAAGUGGAGAUGCAAUAGUUGCUGCCGGUUUCCUCUUCUCGAGAAAAGAGUCAAAUGCUUUUGUAGCAUCAGGCUUCUGGAGGAGUACUGUUUUGGUAGCUUUUAGAAUCUCUUCCACAGACCGACCCGUACCAAUGUACUCUGAAAUAACUUCCCACCUAUGAGAUGUCCCUUUCGGAUAUUUCUGGGUUCCUUUUCUCAAUAGCUCAAUCUCUUCCUUGGUCCAAGGUUUCUCCUUCUUCUCAGAGCUGCUGCUCGAGAGGAUACUUCCAUUUGAGUCCACGGAACCAUUCAGAUGUGAGCCAUUCGUAUCAUCUAUUUUUUUCUCUUCCGUGUUGCUAUUGUAUCCACGGGCAUCUUGGAUUAGUUUAGCCCGCUCUAAUGCUUCUUUGUUAUCCAUCUUAUCACAUAAACUUCUAAGCUGUUCAAAGCCAAGGGUCAUACAUAAACUUUCUACAUCCUCCUCAGAAAGAUCAAGUAAAUGUUGUGAUAAAACAGGUGCAGAAAGUGCUCGAAGUCGAGUUCGCUCUUUCCGGAGGAGCUUCUUCUCUUUCUCCUUAUUUUUCUUAUGCUGUAAAGCAGCUUCGGCAGCUCGUUUCUCCUCCUCCUCUUUCCGGCGUCUCUCCUCUUCAGCAGCCCUAGCAGCUUCUUCCUCCUGCAACUGCUUUGCACGAACCUUAGCUUCUUUUUUCCUCUGUUUCUCAGCUUUCUCCUCUUCCUUCCUCCUAAGUAUUCUUGGGUCUCUUUUAUAGGCAUUAUCAACAAGUGCACGAAUCCGAGCAUAUUCCUCCUUCCUAGCCUUCUCAGAUAGUUUUGCAUUCUGCCUCUCCAUCCACCUUUUAUGGUCCCGAGACUCAGAUUGCUCGAGGUCAUACUCAUCCGCAUGUGGGAAUUCCCUCCAGCUUUUGAAACUAUACCAAAAAUUAUAGAAAUUGUCCACAUCUUUUAGCGAAGUACUGUCAUCUCCUAAAGAUGGGAUAGGCUGGGUCACCGACCAUCGUCCAUUC
rnacentral:lncRNA from 1 species